ACGAACGCUGGCGGCGUGCCUAAUACAUGCAAGUCGAACGGUCUUUCUAUGGAAGCUUGCUUCCACUGAGAAGAUAGUGGCGAACGGGUGAGUAACACGUGGGUAACCUGCCCAUAAGAGGGGGGAUAACAUCCGGAAACGGGUGCUAAUACCGCAUAGUUUUCUUGAUCGCAUGACUGAGAAAGGAAAGACGGCCUUUGUGCUGUCGCUUAUGGAUGGACUCGCGGCGUAUUAGUUAGUUGGUGAGGUAACGGCUCACCAAGACGAUGAUACGUAGCCGACCUGAGAGGGUGAUCGGCCACAUUGGGACUGAGACACGGCCCAAACUCCUACGGGAGGCAGCAGUAGGGAAUCUUCCGCAAUGGACGAAAGUCUGACGGAGCAACGCCGCGUGAGUGAAAGAAGGUUUUCGGAUCGUAAAACUCUGUUGUCAGAGAAGAACAAGUUGGAGAGUAACUGCUCCAGCCUUGACGGUAUCUGACCAGAAAGCCACGGCUAACUACGUGCCAGCCGCCGC
rnacentral:rRNA from 1 species